UAAACCACAUUCUUAGCCAAUGAGUAAGAUGAGCUUGAUCUUCUGGAUUCAGUUGAACUAUUUGUCAGUUUCAAAGUAAAUAAAAUAAUUUUGUUCUAAACUAUGAAUCAGGCAAUUUCAAUUUUUUGUAGAUUUUUUAAAUCAAUGAACAUGAACACUGCAGUUUAAAUUGUUCUAAACAGCUUCCAUGGAAAAUACAGCAUUAAAAAUUGUAUGAAGCAACAGUCAAUAAAUUGCUUAAUUUUUUAAUUACUUAAUCUAUGCUGGAUGGUAUGAUUCAAUUUUUUAAACAUUUUCAGAAAUGUAUUUAAUUCUUAAAAGGUGCAAUGAUGUAAUGCAGGACAUUGCAUGAUUUUCUUCACAUGCAGAUCAUUUACUUACAACCAAUAGAGCUCAGUCAUGUAUUUUGCAGCGGCUCAGGAUCAACCUCGUCAAAGACACUGCAUUCCUUUCCAGAUCUUUGUGGCAAUCACAAACUCCAGAAGGGGAUGGAUAACAAUGCACUCUGGCCAUUAUGCCACCUGGCCUGCUGAGCAUAUGCUUCUUAUAUUUAUGUUUCACACCAUCAGCUUUCACUAAAAUUGAACUCCUUCAGUCAAGCUACCCAGGGGAAGAAAUUGAAGGCAGGGCCAAAAAUGUGACUCAAAAUUCAGAUGGCAUGUGCAAAGAUUUUGCAGACCAGAUUAAACCUAGAGUGCGUUCAGAUUAAAAUCUCCAACUGCAGAAUAUUGCUGUUUACUAUCACUAAAUGAGCGGAAGAAUAAAUAUGUCAUACAGUCUUACCUAUAGUGGGUGAAGGAUGAUCCCAGUACUGACUUGAGUUGUUUUAACCCAACAAUGUCAAUGUAUAUGAGAUCCAGUAGCUUGUCCCCUCGGAUUGGACAUCCAUCUCUAUUUCCAGUCACAAUGCUCAAGUACCUAAUCCAAAUGAGAUUAAAGUAAUGUGGUUAGAGUCUGACCAAGAUGUUAAACAAUGCACAUUGUGAAUUCAUUUCAGCUGCUCUAUGCAUUUCCAAAUGUUUGUUAUUUAACUUCCAUUGGAUCCAAAUUUUACCAUUAUGAUGCCUUACGAUGGCAGAAUCACCAACAGUCUGUCUUGUCCUUUUCUACUUUUGUUGUUUUUAGUCUGUUGUUAAAUUACGUUUUAGUGUUUCUUUAGUUUUGUAUUAUGUGGGGAGUAGGGGAGGGAAAACUUUUUUUAAAUCUCUUUCCUCGACGGAGAUGCGACUUUUUCCGUAUCGUAUCUCCGUCCGCACUGCGGCCUAACAUCGUGGAGCAGGCGGUCCCUUUGCUGAGGAUCGACUUCGGGAGCUCCAACUGCAGCGCCCCGAUCACGGGAGCUUCAAUCGCCCUGACGAAAGGGCUUUGAUCGCCGGCUGCGGGAGCUUCGAUUGCCCCGACUGCGGGAGCUUCGAUUGCCCCGACCGCGGGAGAAAAGGAGGGAAGAAGAUAAUACGUUAUUGCCUUCCAUCACAGUGCGCUGUGGUGGAAGUUUAUGUUCAUUUUUAUGUAGUUGUGUGUCUUGUUGCUUUUUUGGUAUGGCUGUAUGGCAAAUCAAAUUCAUUGUAUGUUUUUACAUACUUGGCUAAUAAAUUAAUUACAAUUAC